GUCCCAUGCCCACGGAGCCUCGCUCAUUGCUAGCACAGCAGUCUGAGAUCAAACUGCAAGGCGGCAGUGAGGCUGGGGGAGGGGCAUCCGCCAUUGCUGAGGCUUGAGUAGGUAAACGAAGCAGCCUGGAAGCUCCCUACCUAGCAUUAAGCUCUACUAAAUGUUACAAAGAUAGAGACCAUCAAAUGAUUCAAAUGAAGCAGAGAGAGGUCUGGGACAUCAAGGGCCACUGGCAACCCAGUUAUUUAUUUCCUUGCUGUGUGCCUACAUGACCUUCUCCAAUGAGCUGUGCCUUAUAGAUACUGGGUUCUCUUUACUAUAGGUAAUCCUUACCCAGGGACACACUGCUAAGGGCAUUUCAGAGUUAAUGUUUCUUCUUCCUAACAAA
rnacentral:lncRNA from 1 species